AAAGAACAGUAAUGUUCAAGUCGCCUUUGUCUCCCCAACACAAUUUUAACUCCCUCUCUAUAAUUCCUUCCAACCUUUCACCUACCAUUUGAAGAACUAAACCCACAUCUUCCAGAUGGGGUGGCUUCACUUCCUCGUCUCCCCCUUGAAGAAGUUUUGGGAUCGUCUGCAUUCUGGCCACAGAAAGCGUAAUUUCCUCGUUCUUUCUUCUUUCUUAUUGUAACCCAUCUCUAUAUAUGAAACAAAAAGCAUUAUUGAAAAACUUUUACAGGUAGAGGGAUAUACAUUCUGUACAAGGACGUGAAGUCUUGCCCAUGUGAAGAUGUGCAUGUCCUGUGGUCAAUCCUGGUUGAAUCUCACCAACCAACAUCUUUGCCAUCGAAAUGAUAUAUAAAAUACACAGGUCUUGCAGGAGUCUCUGCUUCCCAGGUGGUGGUUCUUCUGUUCUAUUUAGUUAUUAACUACAUUCUAAGCUGAGUCUGGCUACAUGGAAUCCAUGAACAGGAAUGUUGUGAAGCAUAGGUAAUUGGCCAAGCAUGGUUUGCCUUGGCAUUUGCCAAAGAUGGUAGCCGAUAACAAUGCUCUAUAUAUAUGUGUGCAUAGAUACAUAUGCAUAGCAACUGCAUUAUGUUAAUGUAUACUCAGAAGAAAGUUUACCUUAUUGUAUAAAUUGAAUAAUGUGACAUCCAUAUUCUAUUAUUUACACUGCAG
rnacentral:misc_RNA from 1 species